UAUAUAUAUAUAUAUAUGGGAAUGGAUCCUAUCAGCCCACGGGCGAACUGCUACAGUGUCAACCAACGGUCCAGAUUAAAUCUGGGCCGAUCUGAGGUCGUGACCAUUGGAUCGGACCCAUAUUCAAUUUGGGCCUUUGGCUGACACUGUAGUAGUCAACCCGUGGGCAAACAGGCUUCUUUCCUUCUAUAUAUAUAUAUA
rnacentral:pre_miRNA from 1 species